CCUACGGGAGGCAGCAGUGGGGAAUAUUGCACAAUGGGCGCAAGCCUGAUGCAGCGACGCCGCGUGCGGGAUGACGGCCUUCGGGUUGUAAACCGCUUUUGACUGGGAGCAAGCCCUUCGGGGUGAGUGUACCUUUCGAAUAAGCACCGGCUAACUACGUGCCAGCAGCCGCGGUAAUACGUAGGGUGCAAGCGUUAUCCGGAAUUAUUGGGCGUAAAGGGCUCGUAGGCGGUUCGUCGCGUCCGGUGUGAAAGUCCAUCGCUUAACGGUGGAUCCGCGCCGGGUACGGGCGGGCUUGAGUGCGGUAGGGGAGACUGGAAUUCCCGGUGUAACGGUGGAAUGUGUAGAUAUCGGGAAGAACACCAAUGGCGAAGGCAGGUCUCUGGGCCGUCACUGACGCUGAGGAGCGAAAGCGUGGGGAGCGAACAGGAUUAGAUACCCUGGUAGUCCACGCCGUAAACGGUGGAUGCUGGAUGUGGGGACCAUUCCACGGUCUCCGUGUCGGAGCCAACGCGUUAAGCAUCCCGCCUGGGGAGUACGGCCGCAAGGCUAAAACUCAAAGAAAUUGACGGGGGCCCGCACAAGCGGCGGAGCAUGCGGAUUAAUUCGAUGCAACGCGAAGAACCUUACCUGGGCUUGACAUGUUCCCGACAGCCGUAGAGAUACGGUCUCCCUUCGGGGCGGGUUCACAGGUGGUGCAUGGUCGUCGUCAGCUCGUGUCGUGAGAUGUUGGGUUAAGUCCCGCAACGAGCGCAACCCUCGCCCUGUGUUGCCAGCACGUCAUGGUGGGAACUCACGGGGGACCGCCGGGGUCAACUCGGAGGAAGGUGGGGAUGACGUCAGAUCAUCAUGCCCCUUACGUCCAGGGCUUCACGCAUGCUACAAUGGCCGGUACAACGGGAUGCGACCUCGUGAGGGGGAGCGGAUCCCUUAAAACCGGUCUCAGUUCGGAUUGGAGUCUGCAACCCGACUCCAUGAAGGCGGAGUCGCUAGUAAUCGCGGAUCAGCAACGCCGCGGUGAAUGCGUUCCCGGGCCUUGUACACACCGCCCGUCAAGUCAUGAAAGUGGGUAGCACCCGAAGCCGGUGGCCCAACCUUUUUGGGGGGAGCCGUCUAAGGUGAGACUCGUGAUUGGGACUAAGUCGUAACAAGGUAGCCGUACCGGAAGGUGCGGCUG
rnacentral:rRNA from 1 species